rnacentral:tRNA from 1 species
GUACCCGUAGCUCAGCGGAUAGAGCACCGGUCUUCGGAACCGGGUGCCGGGGGUUCAAAUCCCUCCGGGUACA